ACAGAUGCACCUGCAAUUCCAGAUGAAAAUUAACUGAAUCAGGCACUGAAAAUUGAACGGCUGCCAGAGCAGGUUGAGAACUUUACAUUUCUCAACAUAAAAGUGGAACGCGACUUGCAAUACAAGAUUACAACUAGAUACAGCGCAUCAGACUUCAGGAAUUACUAUCCUGUUUGUGAUAAAUAUCAUGAGGAAAUGGAAGUUGAUAAAGAGGGUGGCAGAGCAAAGUCCCGGUGACCAGCACUGUCGAGAGCUUGUCUUCCCCAUACCCUGCAAAUUUUAUGCUCUCCUCCCUGUUAAAGAACUCCGUCAACGGAUCAUUCUUGUCAUCAACUCCAGUCCUUACCGCGAAGGCUGCAGGACCGCAUAUGACACAAAAUACAACUAGAAAGAGGAUGCUUUUACUCAUGAUGAGAAAUGUUUGUGUUUGUGUUUGUAUUGAAACUCCUUGUUUCUAGCUUUUUGUAUUGGUUUGUGACUUCGUGUAUGAUAAACUUAGAACCAACGUAACAAUGAAAACUUACCUUCCUCUCUUUGUGAA